rnacentral:lncRNA from 1 species
CGUGGAGUCGUUUCUUCUUCGGCUUCACUUUCUGUCGCCCGGACCUUCAUUGAUGAAGAGUCGAUAAGUUCGUGAAGAAAUUGUCAUAAGACAAAGUCUAAUUCUACGUGCCUAGGGUAUCUUUUAAUGUUUUAGGGUUCUAGCAUCCAUAAUUCGUUACAUUAAAGACAGUCAAAAAUCAAUCAUACCUCGUCUAAUCUCAUUCAAACACAUAGGCAACACAAACACAUAAGGCACAUAAGAAUCACAAUCAAACAUCAUCAAAACAUGCUCUGUUUUUACACUGACGCAACUUCAAAAUUUAAUCUGUUCUGACCCCGAAAUCUCCUGGACUCGAGACUCAUACCGAAAGAAAGAUCUUCGAGUCUAGUUUCAUAUAAAAAAAAGUAGAGUCCAAAACUCCAAGUGGUUUGAGAGAUAUGACGUUUUUACCACGAUCUACCAUAUUCGGCAGUUUUGAGCAAUCGAAAACUUGGAUUUUUGAAAAAUAGUAAACGUUGUCAAACUGGGCUCAAAUUUGGUGGAUAUCUAGCUAACACAAUAAGGUUAAUACCAUAAAAAUUUGGAAAGCUAGAUCACACAGGAAGCUACUGAAAUGAAUGACUCUUUCCCCUGUUCUCUGAAAUUCUCUGUAGUAAUGUGCAGUUUAGGUUUUGCAUUUUAAAGAAAUAUCAAACGAAGUUGGAAUGGCUUGAAAUUUUACCAGUGUGCUCAAGACUCUCAAAUAUACUUACCAUAAAAUUUUCAUGGCUUUUGGAUAUCAAAAUCGCGUCGAAAACAGUAGGUCAGUAGCCUUUAAAAAGGUUCUCAAAUUAACUCCCAAACUUGAGCAUAAAGCAAAUAUACCUAAAUUCCGGACUUCUUCGAUGAAAAAUUCACAAAAAUUCAGAUUAAGCUCAUAUAAAUCACAAUAACAUAAAUACAUGAUCAUAUAACUCAAGAAAAUUCAAACAUCGACUUCCCCUUUUUCUCCUUACAUUCGGCCAACACAUAAGUCAUUAGGAGUUGGUCCGUUUCGUCUCAUAUCGCAUAUACAAGCUCAAUUUAUCAUCAAAUAGCCAUAUAUAAACAUGCUCGACUCAUAACUCAUCUUAUAUACAAGAUCUCAUGUAUGCACGCAAACUAAACUCGAGAAAUUUUCACAAAUCAACAUCAUUAACCAAAUUAAUCAUGCUUUCUCCUUGCUAGUAGUCUAACUAACAUAUAAACAUCAUCAAUUCAAGUAUUUAUCUCAUUUAUCAAAAGUUCCCAAUUAUUAGCAAACUAAACUUAACCAAUUUUAGGCAUUCUUGACAAUUAACCAAAUUGAUCCCUAAUUAUCAUUUCUAUCAUGCUUAAUAACAAUUAAACUUAGCCAAUUUAAUCAAUUAACACAUAGAUCACAAGUCCCAAUUUUUAACAAACUAAACUUUUUGAAAAUCUACAAACAUACAUAAAUCAUUAAUCCAACCUUAGAUUAAUCAAAUUGGCACACUUAAUAGCAUAAAUAAGCAAUCAAUUAGUAAAUUAAACCAUAGAAUCAAUUUUACCCAAAUUACAUCAAACUAACUCAUAUCAAAAAUUACUAAUCAAUUUCAACCAUCAAUCCAAUCCAUCAAAUCUCAUAUAAACACUCUCAAUAGCAUAUAUCAUCCAUCAAUUCAUCAAUCAACCUCAAAUCCAAAACUUCCCAAAUUUAGCAAACUAAACUCUUUGAAAAUUCAAAAUCCUUUCUAAUCCUUUUAAAAACUCAUGGAUAUCAACUCAAUAGGUUCUCAAUUACAUAAUUAUUGCCUCGAUUUAAGAAAAGAAAGUGAAUAUAUUUGAAGGGUAAAAAUACCCCCAAUUUUCGAAAAUUAGAGAAAUGAUGGAGGGGUUUGAUUUUCUUGUUUUCUUCCAUCAAAACAUCAAGAAAUGGAGGUAGAUUUAAGGAAUCUUAAGGUUGAUCCACUUACCCUCAAUAUUUAAGAAAAUGGCGAACUCUUUGAUCCAUUUUGGUUUGGAAACUCUAGCUUGAUCAUUCUCUUGAUUCUUGGUGAUUGAAGGCUAGCUCUAGGAAUGGUGAUGGUGGAUCUAUGUGUUUAGAAGCUUUGGAGUGUUCUUCCAUGAUGGAUUGAAAUGAAAAUAGUGAGAGUAGAGAGGGAGAGAGAGA